rnacentral:rRNA from 1 species
GGAUAACGUUUGGAAACGAACGCUAAUACCGCAUGAUAUUAUUGAGCUGCAUGGCUUGAUAAUCAAAGGAGCAAUCCGCUGAAAGAUGGGCUCGCGUCCGAUUAGGUAGUUGGCGGGGCAACGGCCCACCAAGCCGACGAUCGGUAGCCGGACUGAGAGGUUGAACGGCCACAUUGGGACUGAGACACGGCCCAGACUCCUACGGGAGGCAGCAGUGAGGGAUAUUGGUCAAUGGGGGAAACCCUGAACCAGCAACGCCGCGUGAGGGAAGACGGUUUUCGGAUUGUAAACCUCUGUCCUCUGUGAAGAUAAUGACGGUAGCAGAGGAGGAAGCUCCGGCUAACUACGUGCCAGCAGCCGCGGUAAUACGUAGGGAGCAAGCGUUGUCCGGAUUUACUGGGUGUAAAGGGUGCGUAGGCGGUUUUGCAAGUCAGAAGUGAAAUCCAUGGGCUUAACCCAUGAACUGCUUUUGAAACUGCAGAGCUUGAGUGGAGUAGAGGUAGGCGGAAUUCCCGGUGUAGCGGUGAAAUGCGUAGAGAUCGGGAGGAACACCAGUGGCGAAGGCGGCCUGCUGGGCUCUAACUGACGCUGAGGCACGAAAGCGUGGGUAGCAAACAGGAUUAGAUACCCUGGUAGUCCACGCUGUAAACGAUGAUUACUAGGUGUGGGUGGACUGACCCCAUCCGUGCCGGAG